UGGCUGAGCAUAUACAUCGGCUUUCCAGAAGCAUGUCUGUAGAGUUUCAGGAUAACUCAGAUGAUAUUAAUGAGAUAUCCAGGAUGAGUGUGUGGGUAGAGUCAAAUCACCUUAAAUGGUUGGAUGCUCAAAAUAGAAUUGUAGAAUGGCUAGUUGUCUGUUCAGCAGUGCUGGAAUUUUAAGAUAAUCCCACAAGCAUUCAGACACUGCUGUUGCCAGCUUCGAGGUGUCAAGAUGGUACCAGAAGGAGGAAGAAUGUCCGUGGAAAAAAAAUCCUCCUAGGAAUAGAUCCAGGUCCUUGCGUAUUAAUGCCCUUUGUGCCAAAGACUGGGGGCAGCUCUGGCCUCAGCCUGGGCUUGGUGGACAGUGAUGUAGAUACUAGGAUCCUCCGAGAGGUAG
rnacentral:lncRNA from 1 species